GACAAGUCCAGUAAAGAUUGAAAGACAACCGAGUGGUGAAAAAAUUGUGAUCUACGGAUACCGAAAUGCAAAUGUCACACAGUUUGGAAUAAACAUUCGAUGCCCACUGGUAAAUAACACUGGAGAUAUAGCCACACACCUAGUAGCUUUUUUUAAGACAGGAACAAAGGCCAAAACAGUACUUGUCGAUCAUUUUAAAACUGGAAAAUGGGUUAAAUCAGCUACGUAUGAAAAGUUUGACAAACCUAAUGAGCAGUUUUGUUUGGAAUUUUUAACAUACACAAAUUCAACCACGGUAACAGUGAACAACAACUUCAUUGAAACCAGGCAACACGGAUUGAGUUGUUAUGACAGCCUGGAGUUUCUCAAAGACUUCAAGGUAGAACGUUUGCUGAUGUCAUGAGAGGU